rnacentral:tRNA from 1 species
CAGGAUAUAAUUUAAGUAGAAUAUUAGUUUUGGGGAUUAGUUGUGGGGGUUAAAUUCUCCCUAUCCUGA